GAUGAACGCUGGCCGCGUGCCUAAUACAUGCAAGUCGAGCGAACAGACGAGGAGCUUGCUCCUCUGACGUUAGCGGCGGACGGGUGAGUAACACGUGGAUAACCUACCUAUAAGACUGGGAUAACUUCGGGAAACCGGAGCUAAUACCGGAUAAUAUAUUGAACCGCAUGGUUCAAUAGUGAAAGACGGUUUUGCUGUCACUUAUAGAUGGAUCCGCGCCGCAUUAGCUAGUUGGUAAGGUAACGGCUUACCAAGGCAACGAUGCGUAGCCGACCUGAGAGGGUCAUCGGCCACACUGGAACUGAGACACGGUCCAGACUCCUACGGGAGGCAGCAGUAGGGAAUCUUCCGCAAUGGGCGAAAGCCUGACGUAGCAACGCCGCGUGAGUGAUGAAGGUCUUCGGAUCGUAAAACUCUGUUAUUAGGGAAGAACAAAUGUGUAAGUAACUAUGCACGUCUUGACGGUACCUAAUCAGAAAGCCAGGGCUAGCUACGUG
rnacentral:rRNA from 1 species